rnacentral:lncRNA from 1 species
GUGGGCCGGCAUUACCGCGCGUCCUGGCUGCCGCCUGCAGGGGCCGGACCAGGUGAGGACGCGCUUGGACGCCCAGGAGCCACCCGACGACACGGGCCGGGGCGUGGGAGCCUGGGGUGGAGGGGACAGACACGGAAGGAGGCCUGAAGUGAGGGUGCGUGCCCCGGACGGAGGCCUGCCUUGUGUCACCCGAAGUCCAGGACAGCACGGAAGGCGGGCCUGUCGCGUGAGCGCCACACAGGACGGGUGUACCGACCGCCCGGCCACUGAGGGACGAAUAGCCUUGUAGCAUUGAGAGCUGCCGCAGAAAUCUCCAGAAAGAGCAUGCAGAAAGUUCCCAGCAGUGCCCAUCCUGGGAAGAGACUCAAGGAGAAGCUUUUGAAGCUUAUAGGUUCGAUGGGGCUUGACCUCUCCUGGGUAGCCCCCAGCUUCAGGAGUUGCCCUGCUAAGCAAGAUGACUGCAGAAUUGAAAGAGGCCAUGGCCCUAGCACCUUGGGGCCCAGUGAAGGUGAAAAAGGAAGAGGAAGAGGAUGAAAAUUUUCCAAGUCAGGCAUCCGGCCAACAAGUGCACACUGAGAACAUCAA